UACGAAGGGGGCUAGCGUUGCUCGAAAUCACUGGGCGUAAAGGGUGCGUAGGCGGCGCGGUAAGUCGGGUGUGAAAUCUUGGAGCUUAACUCCGAAACUGCAUUCGAUACUGCCGUGCUUGAGGACUGGAGAGGAGACUGGAAUUUACGGUGUAGCGGUGAAAUGCGUAGAUAUCGUAAGGAAGACCAGUGGCGAAGGCGGGUCUCUGGACAGUUCCUGACGCUGAGGCACGAAGGUCAGGGGAGCAAACGGG
rnacentral:rRNA from 1 species